GUGUCCCUAAAGCAACGCGGUCGUAUCAUCCCUUCUCUAUGUUGGACUAAACUCUUUCAACUCUUCACAAGCGAAAACCCCAAAUCCCUAAAGUGACGGAGAAGGACGCCAUCUACAGUAUGUCAGGAGCAAGCGGCUUGUUCCAGGAGAGCAACACUUUGAGGACGCAACUUCUGUCAUGAUGACGAAGGUGGCAUCUCUGCUGAUCUUCUAUUUGUCGUACUAGAGGGACAUGAAGUCUGACUCCAUCCUCAACAUGUGGACCUGCCCUGAGGAUGUUGGACACCACUGUUACACCUUCAGCCAUGUUGAUUUCCUGUCAGACUGGUUGUUUUUGGUCCAUGGACUGACUGACCUGAACUUUUACCAGAACAAGGAAUACAAUGUUCAUCAGACUCUCCUCACAGUGAACUGACGUCUCUCUGACUGGUUGUGAGGUCACAGGAAAUAGACUGAUCUGUUUACAAGGGAUGCAGCAUUCUAAUUCUGAUAGAAUACGGUUCUAAGGAGUUCAGGUAGUAACCAGUACUUUGAGAUGAAUGUAGAUGUCCACACUCUGGACAAUAUAAAAGGCUUUGGAGAGGGGACCACGCUUUCAGGAGAAGGAUAACAGGGCCUUGUCCAGAAACAACCCCCAGCCCUUACCUCCAAGGCACUUGUGUACAGGACAUUUAAUAAAGGGAAUGUAAUACAUUAUUUCAUACAAUCAGGGAAUUUUGCAUACAGUUCAGUUACAUUACGUUUUGGAAAUUCAACGGUCAUUAAAAUGUAUUUUUGGGGGGUUUUCCGCAUUUGCCCUGUAUGUGUAUGGCUGUUGUCAUGGAAAAGUCAUGGAAUUUUUAGUGCAUCUUAAGAGUGAAAACCCUGUGUACAGAUCUGAAAUUAGUCACUCUUUGAACAUUUCAUCUAGCCUAUCAGAGGGUAUGUAUCUAGCCUAUCAGAGGGUAUGUAUCUAGCCUAUCAGAGGGUAUGUAUCUAGCCUAUCAGAGGGUAUGUAUCUAGCCUAUCAGAGGGUAUGUUUCUAGCCUAUCAGAGGGUAUGUAUCUAGCCUAUCAGAGGGUAUGUUUUGCCACUUUGCUUGUUAUACCACAAUCUUUGAGUUUUACAUGAAUUCUAGUCUGGCAACCGGUUGUCCGGCUUAAAUAAAAUUAAGUCUCCUAGG